rnacentral:lncRNA from 1 species
CCGCCCUAAGCCCAACUAUCCAGCAGCCCAAGUCUGUCAUCACAGAUUGAGCCAGCCCAAAUCCUCUCUUCCUCUUCUUCUUUCUUCCUUACGUCUCAGCGUCUGUCUCUACUACAUUCCGGCGGACGGUGGUUAUGGCGAAUCCAGCUAGGUCGGCCGCUCGCCACCACCUAGAUCCGCCACUGGUCAAAACCGACGAACCGUUUGGAUUGGUUGUUUGGUAGAAAAAGGUAACAUGAAAGUGAGCUCGGAAAUGACCAUUUCAAAGAUCUCGAAGCGAGCUUCUGAAACACGAGAGACUAUCUGGCAUUCAUAAUAGGGUGCUGAUCAUAGCAAAAUCGUCUAUAAUUAACUCACCAACCUGUUGUCCCUCAUUGGUGGUCUCGUCAAGGCACCCAGCUUUUCAAUUUAUUGGCAAUUGUAGUCUCCAGUUUUCAACCUUCAGCAGCAUUUUUUGCCCCGUUUAUGAUUGUUGACUGAUACUUGAAUGGCCAGCAACACAAGGCAGUGCUGUCUCAACCAAAGCUUGAGUUCUUGACUAAUUUUUUAUUUUGUUUCUCCUGUCGCUGGAAUAAUUGUAUCGGGGCAGGGAAACGAGCCAUCAACGUAUAUGGGAUUGUAACCAAAUAGUGAAUUGGUAAAUUGGGUUUUACAGAAAGAGUAAUUUAUGCUUUUGGACAGCUUGAAGGGUGUUUGAGAAGCGGCAUAAGGGAGAUAAGAAGACCGGACUGGUUUAAAUAUAUCCUGCAGUUAAGGGGGUUGAGGAGUCCAAAGACAUAAUGAAGAAGGAAUUUAGAAAAGGUUAUGAAAUGAAGGUCCUUGGCAGAGGUUCUGUCCUCCAUUUAUUUAUUAUUAUUUUUUUUUUAGGCUAG